UCAGUGUAAUUUCUUCGCUGAAUAUGGGUCUACAUCAGUAUUUGGGGCAAUGCGACUUGGCUAUUCAGACAUAAAUAUGUCGACGGGCCGAGGUAUAUUUAUAAAAAUAAAAAAAGUCAAUGGUGAACUGAUCAACAUAGGCUCAUGUCGCGGACCCCCUGCAAUGCCGUCGCGGACCACCAGGGGGCCACGGACCCCUGGUUGAAAACCCCUGAUCUGGAGCACAGGGACGAAAACGAAGAAUGGAAGAAGAGGAAAAGAAAGCCAAGUAUAGAGGUAAGUCUUCUCAUCUCAGCCAUUAAGGUGUCAACCGAAAUAAAUGUAGUAUUGUGCAUCACCUAAUAUUGGACGUUUCAUUGCUGUCACUUAGGCUAGCUAUAGCUAGCUAGCGACUCUUACUUUGCUAAUUUGCUACGUAGGCUAUUACUAGCAAACGUAACUUCACUCAUAACCUAGAUGGAUGUAAAUGUCAAAAGACCAGUAUCUGGAUAACAUAUGCUAGUUAUGAAAAGUACAGUUGCUGUCUACAUUCAUUAUAAAUGGCAUAAGUUCUGUUUAGUGAAUUCACAACUAGCAGGUGCAUACACACCGUAACCAUUUUGGGGAAUAAACUAAAAUACCAGGAAUAUACUAAAAUAUACAGUAUAUGUGUUUUUUAUUUUUGUUUUAAACUGGCCAGAUGCACUCAGGCAAUUUUUGCAGAGGCCGGCACCUGCUGGAGAAAGGACGCCUGAUUCGCCUCCCUCUGAACUUUGUAAGUAGCCUACACAACUAGUACUAUUGUUGCUGUUUUUGUUAUUGUAAUUAUUAUUAGCAAUUAUUACUUUCAUAAACAUUAAUACUACUAAUUGUAAUCAGUAGCCUAGUAUUAUUUAGCCUUGUAGCAGUGGUGGCAGUAAUUGUAAUUUAUCUACUACAAGCUACAUGGUCAGAUAAAAUGUGUUAAUGCAACUAUACGGUAGGAUGAUAGAAAUGACCAAAUGCAAUUGUGAAACGAACAGCAUGGAUGAACUCUGUGUUUAAAUACAGCUGCAGGAGAAGGGUCAUCCAGUAGUACUCAAGGGGCCAGGAACACACAGCCUGCAUCAGGUGAAGGGACAUCCAGGACCACAUCAAGCACUCAGGGCACCAGUGAAACUACACUGCCGCCUGCAGACACCUCACCCUCCGCAGUUCGACCGAACCCAGGUUAAGAACCACUGGUAUAGAUGGUCAUAAUUUGCUUAAAUGUCCUUACAGGUGCUUAAGAGUGUUUUGCACAGUGUAUGGUUUUGCACAGUUUAUGGAGUUGAUUUAAUCCUAACUUUGAGUGUGUAAUAAAUUAUUUAAAAUAAUAAAAAAGAAAAUGUUCUGAAACUAUUCUGGUGUUUGUUGUCCAUGCACCAUUUAUUGUUGAACUGCAAUGUAGAAUAGUAAAAUUAUAAGUGGGUGAAAAAACUGCUAUGCAAAGUAAAGCAGUUAAGUUAAUAUAUGUCUCUUCAGUGAUGUUAAGUAUUGUGUGUGUGUGUGUGGGGGGGG
ensembl:lncRNA